rnacentral:lncRNA from 1 species
GUUAAUUACAGAGUUCAACCAAUGGUACUAGAACAAAAAAAAUACUAAAAUGGAUAAAGUAUUACAUUGUACAUCAACCAUGUGUGUAAGGAUGAGUGACUGAUCCUCUCUAUUUUCUGUCUCCCAGAAGCUCUUCUGGUGAAAUAGGCCUACAUUCUAAUCUCUAUGUGGUAUCCCCUCUUCUAGAUACUGGAAUCCCUUCUCUAUGAAGAAUCGCUCUCUUCACACCUGUUUAGAUGCAUCAGUCUCUGCAACAUUAGGAAACCUGUUUACUUUCCUCAGCCUUUGUCCUCAGUUCCCCGGGAACUGUCUCCGUGGGAUUUCCUCCUGCAUGGAUGCAUGAUGACACAGCAAUCUAAGAAAUUUCAGUCUAUAAGAUGAUUCCAGAAGAAGAACAUCAACAGCCUCCCAAAGAAUGCAUAAUUACUUUUAAUUCCUUAGUUGAGGUCAUGGAAAUAAAAAUACAAGUUCAAGUGAGGUCACUAUCUCAAUUUCUUCACUCCAUUUGCCAAACUCACUGAAGAUCUUAUUUGGAUAGAGGUAAUGUAUAGGCAAGAUAAAACAACAGCAUAUACUACAAAAAUAAGCAAGCAAAACACCCAACCAUGUUAUCUCUUUGACUUUGCAAGAUUCUACUCUCAUAAUCCCUGCACUAUUUUUUUUAUAGACUAUAUUCUUUAAUGACAAUGUGAUAGAAUGUUCAAUUGAAUAAAAGGCAAACUAAAAAAAUUCCUGAUUGGGAA